GUGCUCGCUUCGGCAGCACAUAUACUAAAAUUGGAACGAUACAGAGAAGCUUAGCAUGGCCCCUGCGCAAGGAUGACACGCGCUUGGCCUAAAUAGCCAAGUGGUUAU